CGCGGAGUAGAGCAGUCUGGUAGCUCGUCGGGCUCAUAACCCGAAGGUCGCAGGUUCAAAUCCUGCCUCCGCAACCA
rnacentral:tRNA from 2 species